rnacentral:rRNA from 1 species
UACGUAGGGUGCAAGCGUUGUCCGGAAUUAUUGGGCGUAAAGAGCUCGUAGGCGGUCUGUCGCGUCUGCUGUGAAAACUCGGGGCUUAACCCCGGGCCUGCAGUGGGUACGGGCAGACUAGAGUGCGGUAGGGGAGACUGGAAUUCCUGGUGUAGCGGUGAAAUGCGUAGAUAUCUGAAGGAACAUCAGUGGCGAAAGCGACUUCCUGGACCAAUACUGACGCUCAUGUGCGAAAGCGUGGGGAGCAAACAGG